GAUGAACGCUGGCGGCGUGCCUAAUACAUGCAAGUCGAGCGAACGGACGAGAAGCUUGCUUCUCUGAUGUUAGCGGCGGACGGGUGAGUAACACGUGGAUAACCUACCUAUAAGACUGGGAUAACUUCGGGAAACCGGAGCUAAUACCGGAUAAUAUUUUGAACCGCAUGGUUCAAAAGUGAAAGACGGUCUUGCUGUCACUUAUAGAUGGAUCCGCGCUGCAUUAGCUAGUUGGUAAGGUAACGGCUUACCAAGGCAACGAUGCGUAGCCGACCUGAGAGGGUGAUCGGCCACACUGGAACGGAAACACGGUCCAGACGCCUACGGGAGGCAGCAGUAGGGAAUCUUCCGCAGUGGGCGAAAGCAUGACGGAGCAACGCCGAGUGAGUGAUGAAGGUCUUCGGAUCGUAAAACUCUGUUAUUAGGGAAGAACAUAUGUGUAAGUAACUGUGCACAUCUUGACGGUACCUAAUCAGAAAGCCACGGCUAACUACGUG
rnacentral:rRNA from 1 species